rnacentral:rRNA from 1 species
CACGUAGGGUCCGAGCGUUGUCCGGAAUUACUGGGCGUAAAGCGCGCGCAGGCGGUUAGUCGCAUCGGCGGUGAAAGCCCCCCGCUUAACGGGGGAGGGGCCGUCGAGAUGGACUGACUGGAGGCAGGGAGAGGGCGGUGGAAUUCCGGGUGUAGUGGUGAAAUGCGUAGAGAUCCGGAGGAACACCCAUUGCGGAGGCAGCUAACUACGCGAUCAUUGACGCUGAUGCACGAAAGCGUGGGGAUCAAACAGG